UAAUACAGAGGGUGCAAGCGUUAAUCGGAUUUACUGGGCGUAAAGCGCGCGUAGGUGGCUAAUUAAGUCAAAUGUGAAAUCCCCGAGCUUAACUUGGGAAUUGCAUUCGAUACUGGUUAGCUAGAGUAUGGGAGAGGAUGGUAGAAUUCCAGGUGUAGCGGUGAAAUGCGUAGAGAUCUGGAGGAAUACCGAUGGCGAAGGCAGCCAUCUGGCCUAAUACUGACACUGAGGUGCGAAAGCAUGGGGAGCAAACAG
rnacentral:rRNA from 1 species